rnacentral:rRNA from 1 species
AGUCAAUAGAUACCCGGGUAGUCCACGCCGUAAACGAUGAAUGUUAGCCGUCGGGCAGUAUACUGUUCGGUGGCGCAGCUAAACGCAUUAAACAUUCCGCCUGGGGAGUACGGUCGCAAGAUUAAAACUCAAAGGAAUUGACGGGGCCCGGCACAAGCGGUGGAGCAUGUGGUUUAAAUUUACGAAGCAACGCGCAGAACCUUACCAGCCCUUCGACAUGCCCGGCUAGCUGCAGAGAUGCAGUGUUCCCUUCGGGGUACCGGGACGACAGGUGCUGCAUGGCUGUCGUCAGCUCGUGUCGUGAGAUGUUGGGUUAAGUCCCGCAACGAGCGCAACCUCGCCUUACGUUGCCAGCAUUGGUUGGGCACUCUAAGGGACGUGCCGGUGAUAAGCCGAGAGGAAGGUGGGGAUGACGUCAAGUCCUCAUGGCCCUUACGGGCUGGGCUACACACGUGCUACAAUGGUGGUGACAGUGGGCAGCGAGGCCGCGAGGCCGAGCUAAUCUCCAAAA